UACGAAGGGGGCUAGCGUUGUUCGGAAUUACUGGGCGUAAAAGCGCGUGUAGGCGGGUCCUUUAAGUCAGGGGUGAAAUGCCAAAGGCUCCAACCUUGGAACUGCCUUUGAUACUGGGGAUCUUGAGUCCGGGAGAGGUGAGUGGAACUGCGAGUGUAGAGGUGAAAUUCGUAGAUAUUCGCAAGAACACCAGUGGCGAAGGCGGCUCACUGGCCCGGAACUGACGCUGAGACGCGAAAGCG
rnacentral:rRNA from 1 species